AAAUGAGAUGAAAAAAGGAUUUGAAAAUUACCAGAAGGAGACGGCAGAGAAAAGUCCGGCGGUUGCAACUGUCUGGAUGAGAGUGAAGCUCUUCACCAUUUUCCGCUCUCAAAGCUUCUGUAACCGUCGUAGGAGUGUGUGUCACGUUGUGGUGAAGACAUCUCACGACUUUCUAGAAAUCAGAUAUUCACCGACUCAGACUUUCUAGAAAUCAUAUAUUAUGUACUCUUUGCUUGUUUCCUUGAACAAAAUUUCCACUUUUGGAUUAUGUUCGGUCUUAGCGUGAAAAUUCAUGAGCAAAUGUGGACAAUAAAGUUUGUGAUAUGCAUUUUGGAACACAUGUAUAAUUUCAUGUCAAUGGAAUUGACAUUAUCGGAUAUUAUGGCUAAAUUAUCAAUACCCUUAUUACAUUC